rnacentral:lncRNA from 1 species
AAUGUUUCUCAGGAACGCUACUCCAGGGGUUGCUCCCCAGUCCAAAUGGGAGGCCUUUGGCCCACCAGGGAGCUUUAGGUUCCCCGGGUGCUUCUCGGAGGCUGACGAGGGGGUGGAGAGCGUGUCGGUGAGCGCCCGGGUGCAGAUGCUCAUCAGCACGCUGCAGCGCAGCGGGGUUGCUCGGGGCACCACCGAUGAGCGCGCUGCACAGAGGGGCCACAGGGCAGACGCCAAGCCAGCUGCCAAGCCCACCGUGCACAAGGAGCAGCCCGCAUUGCCUGCCUGUGGUCUUGUUGCUGACUUUGACCCCAUGAGGGAGGAGGAAACUGCAGACUUUGGCCCGUUGGUGCUAGAUUCAAUGAUGAUUCCGUGGACCGGGACAUUGCGGAAGCCAUCCGGGAGUACCUAAAGGCAAAGAGUGGAGCCGCACAGCCCGGGGCUGGCAGGGGCCAGCCAGGCGCAGCCCAGCCUUCCAGGGCUGCAGGCAGUGGCAGUAGAUGUAAGCCAGAACUAUCUCACGGCAGUGCCCCGACUUCCGUGUGUCCCCCCAAAACUUGUACCUGGCUCAGGUGGUGGCCCUGGCAGCCAGGUGAGAUCCAGUGAGGACUAGGGUUCUGCCUUCCCGGUCAGAGCGAGCAGCAACGACUCCUUCGAGCAGAGCAUUAAGGCGGAAAUAGAACAGCUUCUGAAUGAGAAGAGAUAGCAUGCGACCCAAAAAUGUGAUGGGGUCAAUAGAUAAAAAACCAGACCCAAACGAAAAUUCGACCAAGUCACUCUUGAAAUCCCACGAAGAGCUAGCCGCAAAGGUGGCGCAUCGGCAGGGUCUGAAGGGCGCCCAUAAAGAGUUCGCCUUUCGCAAACCUCCCCGGUUAGCAAAGACGAACGUGCAGCCCAGAAGCCUCAAGUCCAGGGUCACGACCAAGCAGGAGAACAAGGGCAGCCCGAAGCCAGCAGCCCCCUGCAGCCCUUCAGAAGCACCACAGAAUAAAAGCGGGGUCAAGAGGAGCGCUGGCGCCCUGAGAAGGGGAAAGCAAGUCACAAGUGCGGCGCAGGCGCCCGAGGCGUCAGACUCCAGCAGCAACGACGGCACUGAGGAGGCCAUCCAGGUGUACUAGCUGCGGCAAACACGCAAGGAGGCCAACGGGGACCUGCCCCAGAGGGCCCAGCGCCGGGAGGAGAGAGGACGCCUGACCCCGCACACAGCACAAGCAGCGCCACAAAAAAGUGCCUUGCGCGAGACCCACAGGAAAACACCCAGCUAGAGGAAGCCAGUGGCCACCAAGGCCACAGACCCUUGCCCGGGGUGCCUAGACGCUGACCAUUCCCCACAAGCUCCCGAAGGAAACCAAAGCUCCGCCUCCAGCGAGCCCGGCUUCCAGGAACGAGUUUGUAGAACGGUCCUCGUGCCAGGCAGACACGUCCGCUGAACUGACGCGCGCGGAAGCAAUCUUGGGCAUUUCCAAGACUACCCUGCCGGCCCCCAUGUAAGGCAGCAACAGGUCCCUUUCUGCAAGCCCACGCUUCUACUCCCUGAACGUGCCUUCCCGCUCUGACGGCGACAGUAGCUCCGUGGACAGCGACGACAGCAUCGAUCAGGAAAUCCAGACGUUUUGACCCUCAAGGCAUAGUCGGGGAGUUUGCUGGCCAGAGGUGAGAGCUGCUCGCAGGCUGCCCAGGGCCCACUUUCACCGCCUGGCCCCAACAGCCAGACCAGUGGCCCCAAGGCCCCCCUCUCUAAAACACCGGACCCGCUGCUGAGCUGCAAAAGGAAACGUAGAGGCGGCGGCCAUGCCAUGAGGCCGUCCACGCCCAAGAAAACGCGGGAGGUGGUGAAAGAUGGUGGCCAGGAUGCCGACCACAGCCAGGCGUGAGCCGUGCCCGGCCAUGAGGGGCGGGACCUGCCCGUCCAGGGCAAAGCCAGCGAGGUCCCGGGAGGGGAGGGCGCAGCCAAGGGGCCCGGCGACACUCGCAUGACGCAGGGCCAGGGUAAGACAGACGAGGUGAGGCACCUGGACGAGAAGGAGAGCUCCGAAGACAAGAGCAGCUCCCUGGACAGUGACGAGGACCUGGACACGGCCAUCAAGGACUUAAGGUCCAAGCGAAAGCUCAAGAAGAGGUGCAGGGAACCCAGGGCUGCGUGCAGGAAGGUCAGGUUCAGCACUGCCCAGAUGCACUUCCUGGAGCAGCUGGGCGGGCUCCCGAGAGACUGGAAAGACAGAAGCCCGCCGGUGCUUAAUAGCUGACUCUCCAAGUCCAAGAGAGACAGCGGCGAGGGUCCAGGGAACAAACCUCCCAGUGUCUGUGGCAGUAUGGCAGAGAAGACGAAGCAGGAGGGCGUCAGGAGCCAGGACACGGCCCCGGCCUUCCGAGUGAGGGGAUGCGCCUCUGCCUCCGCCUCUGAAGGGAAUCCAUUUCCCCAGGGAAUGCCAGGGCCCAGCUCCCAGCCCCGGCUCCCUGUCUGACGACAGGAGUUCAGUGGACAGUGACGAGAGCAUCGAACUGUAGAUUAGUAAGUUUUUGGCGGAAAAGGCCAAGGAGUCUGAGCAGUUCAGAAGUUCAGGCAGAGGGCCCUGCUGCUCUCGGGAAAUGGGGCUCAUUCAGGCCAGAGUUGCUGUGCAGGAAGGAGCGGGCCCCACCGCCUGGCGUGUGCACGCGGAGUCAGUGGGCCAGGGGGGUCCCACAGCCGGCAGAAGGGCCAUGAGGUGCAGAGAGCGCUGGAGCACAGGGCACAGCCGACCUGUUCAGCCAGGGCAGGAAGGGGCUCCCCGCUGCUCCCGCCCAAGGGGAUCCGGCACCGCCCAGGAGCACCAGUGGCAGUGUCUCCGCCAAGGGGCUCUCAGCGAGCAGGAGAAAUGUUUACAUUCAGAAAGACCAGCGCUCACGAGGGGCCGAGCAUGCUGCCAGAAGUGCUUUUAUUCAGCUGCCCAGCAGUGCCACAGCGGGCACCGAGGCCGGAGGUGCUGGGGGGAGCUUUCACAUGGGCUGCGGGAGCCGGGGCUUCCUGACCCCUAGCCAGGAAGCUGAAAGGGACUCUGGAGCCCAGGCUGACCACACCCUGCCCUCGAGCGACUUCACCCACCGGAACCCGUGCGCGCUGCGCUCGGAAAGUAGAGAUGCGGAGUGGAGGCGGGGCGUCGGGAGCGGGAAAGACAAGGGGUCCGAGGGCCCCGCCUGGGGCCUGCCCAGCCUACCCCUUGUGGGCUUCUCCCCGCGCUGUCCACCCAGCUCUUCCAUUUUGGAAAGGGUGUCUCCCAGGGGGGCAGGCAGGCCAGCCUCUUCAGCCCGACAUGGGGCUGCCUCCACAGGGCCCGUCCUUCUCUGCCUUCAGGGAGGCCCAGGCCGGGCCCAGCCCUGUCUUUGGAAGCCCACACUUGCUGGCGAAGAAGGACGGCGGGCCCUGGCCAAGCAGCAAGGCACAGACAGGGCGGAGUUUGCCCGACAGGAGGAACUCGGGCUCGGAGGAAAGCAUUUUAGACCUGAGGUAUUGACGAAGGGUCAUCGAUAGGGACGACCAGGACCAGGGCACCUUGGGCGGGCACGCCUUGGUUAGUGACGCCAGUGACUUCAGCGACACUCCGCGCACGGAGGACAGUGGCGGCAGCUCAGCAGUGAA